UACGUAGGGGGCGAGCGUUGUCCGGAAUCAUUGGGCGUAAAGCGCGUGUAGGCGGUCCGGUAAGUCCGCUGUGAAAGUCGGGGGCUCAACCCUCGGAUGCCGGUGGAUACUGUCGGGCUUGAGUACGGAAGAGGCGAGUGGAAUUCCUGGUGUAGCGGUGAAAUGCGCAGAUAUCAGGAGGAACACCAAUUGCGAAGGCAGCUCGCUGGGACGUUACUGACGCUGAGACGCGAAAGCGUGGGGGGCAAACAGG
rnacentral:rRNA from 1 species